ensembl:lncRNA
CCACUAGAGUGUUGGUUUGGUUAUAUGCGGAGUUGUCUCAUGCUUUUCUCAGUCUGCAUUCUACUCGACUGAGAGAGGCGGAUUCUGGUCGAGGGUAGAGUUUUGAACAUUUUCUCUCCUUGAUGUUGAACAGAUUGAGAGAGUUGAACACAAUAAAGUGCCUUCAAGUACGCCAGUGUCUUGUCUUCAGUGCAUCGGAACACAAUGCAGUAGUCGGCAACGAGCAGACCGCGCCGGCUACACUGGCAUGGAAAAGAUCAUCUUCAGUCUCCCUAGCAAUUGCUCAAUUCUUAUGAUUAUUCCUAAGAAGUUAGUAGAUACUAGUAAGCCUAUUACCCAGUCAGCAAACAAAUUUGGCCCAGAUUUGGCAUGUGUCUGGCACAGCUGGCAUUCAUCCGGCACUGGCAUACAGCAUGUGGGCCAAACAUGGCCCGGGUUUGGCAGAGAUGGCACUGGAUUAAAAACGGCACCCAAGACAUGGGCCAGAUGUCCAAUAUAGAUGUGUGGGCCACAUAAGUAUAGCCGCAUUUAAAAUCCUUUUCAAAUAUGUUUGAUUAAAAUUCCAGUGUUUUAAUACACAUAUAUUUUCAUCUUCCUGUUUACAUCCUGGGUCAAAUGUCUUCAAGUUAAUCCAGGCAACAAUAAAUAUAAAAUUAUUUGAAUUAUGAAAAUCAACUGUAAUCAUUUGAUUUCAGUUCCUGCACAUUGCUAAAUUUCCAGAUUUUUUGCCAUGUAGCCUACUGUACACCAGUAG